UGCCAGCAGCCGCGGUAAGACGGAGGGCUCAAACGUUGUUCGGAAUCACUGGGCAUAAAGAGCACGUAGGCGGCCCGCUAAGUCAGAUGUGAAAUCCCCCGGCUCAACCGGGGAACUGCAUCUGAUACUGGCGAGCUCGAGGACGGUAGAGGUGAGCGGAACUCCAGGUGGAGCGGUGAAAUGCGUAGAUAUCUGGAGGAACACCGGUGGCGAAAGCGGCUCACUGGACCGUCUCUGACGCUGAGGUGCGAAAGCUAGGGUAGCAAACGGGAUUAGAUA
rnacentral:rRNA from 1 species